GUUACAUUUAACGAGCGACCACAAAGUAUAUAUAUAUAGUUAUAUUGAAUUAAGUUUAUGUAUUUUAUAAGAUACUCUAAAAUAUAAUAAAUGAAGUAUGCGGUGCAAGAUAUGUGUGAUAUUAUUUUAUAUUCCAUGUUUUAUAGAAACUGUUAAUGUUGAUGUGGAAGGAUUUAUUGCUCUAUCAACAGAAGUUAAGAUUAGUGACGAACUUUCUAUUGAAGAAAAUCCUUUUAAUUAUUUAAGAAAAAGUCAAUCUGGAAAAAAAAAAAAGAAAACAUCGAAACACACCUUAAGAGGAAACGUUACCGAUGCAAAUGAAAGUGAACAUAAUAAUCACACACAUAAACCUAGGAAAGUAGAAGACAUCAAAGAUGUAGAAGAUUUUGCCCGCCAUGUGUUCAAAAAUUCAAUUAAAACAAUUAAAUCAAUAAAUCGAAGAUUGGACAAAAAUCUUAGAUCAAAAGCGAACUUUUCAGAAGAAGCAUAUAAAUGGAGGUUUAUACGAUUCAUCAAUGAUUCUCUCAGUCACACGAUGAGGACGGAAUCAGGAACACAAAAAUUUGUAUUAAAUACAAUACAAACUUCCAAUAAUAUUUUACGAAGACUUACCAAUUAUUUUUUGUUAAACACUUUUAAACAAGGCCCCGGAGGUAAUGUAGAAGAAACUCUUCUUAAAGAAAUUGACAGAAAUAACAAAAAGGAAUACAAAUAUAUCUGUCAACGAUAUCACAUCUGCAGAAGCGACAAAAGUUUCUCAUCUUUUCUGGGUGAAUUCACUUCAAUAAUGGCGACAUUAGAUUCGUCACAAUUAAAAACAGCUAAUAACGCGUUAACCGAAGUUUUAAAAGAAACUGAUGUUAGCAAAAUAAUGGAUAAAAGCACAGAAGCCACAUUCAAGAAAACUAUAAAUAAUUUAGAAAUCAUUGACGGAUCGGCAAUGAAACCAGCAAUUAUAAUAUUAAAAAAUAUUUUUAUAAACAGAAAUAAACCUUUGCCGAUUCUAAGGGAGAUGAGAGUAUCUGUGUCCACGCUCACUGUACCAAUACAAGCAGUUAAUAAUAUUUUAGAUGCUUUUGAUAUGGCUUUACCACCUACUCGACAUAACAAAUUAGAAUGGAGUCAAAUCAAUAACAGUUUCAAAGAAUGGCGUGAUGGGAAGAGAACCGAUAUAUUGCAAAUUGUACAGCGAUUGGUCAGCCAUAUGGAUAAAGGGGUUGACUUAAUGGAUUCAGCUGCACGCGAGCAGAUGAAAAAAGAUUUCAAAGCCUUAUAUCCAAAAGUAUCAAAAACUCAGUGAUGCAUAUGUAAUACAAAAUCUGGUCAUAUGUUUUGUUAUAAAUAAAUUUAUACAUAAAUUGUUAUUUUUCAAAUAUUUGAGUUUCUUCUUAAUAAUAAUAAUUAAAAAAUAAAUGCAGUUGCUUUGAAAUACCAGUUAACAAUAUUAAUCGGUACAGCAUACUUGCAAAUAAUAAUAAAAAAUGAGAUGUACUCAUGAUAUUAUGAUUAUUUUUAAAGCCGAAAUGGUACAUUAAUUGUGAUGUAAAUAUUUUAUUUUGAAUUGGGUUUAAUUUUGUAGAUACAUUACAUUGUGUACAUAGAAAGAAUAUAUUUUACGUCAGCUUUCAGCAGUACUAGUAAUUGUUCUGAAAUGGAUCAAACGCAUUUCUCAAGUAUUUUCUAUUUCAUUCGUAUGGUUAUGCAUUGAAAUAAACAUAUUUGUAUUGUUCAAAACAAUUUACACUUUCUAAUAAAACCUGUCGUAAAGAUUUUACAAUUGUUACCGUAAUAUAAACUGUAGCAUAUUUGACGAUUAACCUCACAAUGUAUACCUGUUACUCAAGAAUUUAGGUUUAGUAACCAUGGUGUCUAUUCAAGCAUCAUUAAAACUUCAUGUCUUUUAAAUUUUAGACAAAAAUACAAAAAAUAAAUUUAAUUGAUGCAGUAUUAUGAUCUAAAGAAAGUGAUGGUGUACAUGCUUUUUGUAAUAUUUUUAUUAUUGUUUUAUCCAUUUUGUAUAAGUUUUAUUAAAGCCGUGAAUGUCGAUAUUCAAGGGAUCAUACAUUUUAAUAUUGAUACUGAUUUGGAUGAAUCCACAUCCAGCGGUAACAAAAGGAAAGAUAACAAAAAAUAUAGCGAUUCGUCUUCAGAAUAUUCAAAGAAAAUGACAAAGGGAGAUGUAAAAAAGCUAAUAAACAUUUUACUCAAUGAUGCAAAUUUUCGAGAAACAAAACCUUACAAAAUUAGAGAAAUUGAAGACUUAAAUAAUUUCACUAGCAAAGUCUUGAAAAGAUCUCUUAGAACUUUAAAGAAAAUCAAUGAUCAUGUGGACAAUAGACUAAAAUCAAAAGUAAAGCGGUUAGCUGUUAUGUAUCAAGUAAAAUUUAGCCAUAAUCUGAAUGAAUCACUAGACCACAUAAUACGGACACGAUUUGGAUUACAGAAAUUUAUGUUAAAUACUUUAAGGACAUCAGAUAAUAUUUUACAGAGGCUAAAGAACAAUUUAAUCUACGACUUAAACAAAAGUCAUAACUUGGGAAUUAGAAGCAAUACAAGUGAAUAUAUAAAUAAUCAUAUCAACGAGACCAAAUAUCUUCAACUGCAAUAUAUUUGUAUGAAUUACAAUAUCUGCGAGAGUAAUGUACGUUUUUCAAUGUUUUUGGCAAAUUUAGCUUUCAUGGUAACACAUUCUAUGAAUAUUACUAAAAUGAAAGUACAAAGAAAUUCGUUCGUGAAUUAUUUAUCUAAGGCUAAUGUUAGCAAACAUAUGAAUGAAACAACAAUGCAAAAUUUCUACCAGGUUCUUAACUUUAUGCAGAUGUGGAGUGACAAUAAAAUAAGAGACACCUUUAUCAUGGUUUUUCAUAUGUUAGUAUAUCCAACAAAACCUGUUGCACCUAACGGGACACAGUUUGCGAAACAUAUAGUUCCUUUGUUUGAAAUAAUUACAUUAUUAGACAAGUGUAUUCCACCUAGUAAUGGCACAAAAUCGAGAUGGAGCUGUAUUGAAAAAGUGUACUCUGAAUGGAUAGACGCAAAAAUCAGCGACAAUGUAAUUGACAACAUUACUAAAGCCAUAUUUGAGGAAAUAGAAGAUGGUAUACAUAAGAUGAGAAAAGAAACAUUGGAGUUUUUCAAGAGACAAAUAGCUAUCAUUUGCCAAUACUAUGAGAUAGAUUAUGACUAAGACGUGAUGCCGAGGCUCGAUAUCACAUAAACAUCGUUAUAUAUAUAUACGUUUAUUGAAAUAAAAUAUAAUUACUCUAAAUUAUAAUAU